rnacentral:rRNA from 1 species
UGGGGAAUCUUGCACAAUGGGGGAAACCCUGAUGCAGCGACGCCGCGUGAGUGAUGAAGCCCUUCGGGGUGUAAAGCUCUUUCGGCAGGGACGAUAAUGACGGUACCUGCAGAAGAAGCUGCGGCUAACUACGUGCCAGCAGCCGCGGUAAUACGUAGGCAGCAAGCGUUGUUCGGAAUUACUGGGCGUAAAGAGUGCGUAGGCGGUUUGGCAAGUUUGGUGUGAAAUCUCCUGGCUUAACUGGGAGGGUGCGCCGAAAACUGUCAGGCUAGAGUGUGGGAGAGGAAAGCGGAAUUCCUGGUGUAGCGGUGAAAUGCGUAGAUAUCAGGAGGAACACCUGUGGUGUAGACGGCUUUCUGGACCACUACUGACGCUGAGGCACGAAAGCGUGGGGAGCAAACAGGAUUAGAUACCCUGGUAGUCCACGCCCUAAAACGAUGCGGACUUGGUGUUGGCCCUUCAUUGGUCAGUGCCGCAGUUAACGCGGUAAGUCCGCCGCUGGGGAGUACGGUCGCAAGGCUGAAACUCAAAUGAAUUGACGGGGUCAUAGCUGUUUCCUG